UGUAAGAAAUGCAGAACAUUUUGUUUCAGACACAUAUUGCAAAUGAACUAUUCAAAUCACUUACAGAUUUAAAAUAUCAUGGCUAGGAUAAAAUUCGUAGAAGAUUAUUCAGUUUCAUAUCAAUCCCUGUGCCUGAACUAUUAAUUCUGGUAAAAUUGAGUGACAGAAAAGGACGAUGAUCAGAAUAUACAUGUGUACAUAUGAAGUAGAAGGUCUACUAUUUAGACUUGUCCAGAUUCAAAUACCACAUCACAGUCAUUUCAUGGAAAUACAGGUGCAAAUACAAGUGCAGAACAUUUGAUAAUCACAGCAAUGUGAAACACUUCAAUUCAAGUCUCAAAACAAUCAGGGAGAGCAUGCUUCAAUGGACAGAAAAACUAACAAAUUCUAUCCCAAAAGAAAAUUAACAUUGGGUUCAAUUGAAAAAUCUUCUGGAAUUCGUUUCUGCAAACGCAGAACAUCAGCAAAGUUAUUAAACAAUACC